CAGGUCUAGAGCCCCACAGAAAAUUUGUAUUUCCAUUCAAACUCUUGCAGAAGCAACAUCCAAAAUUAGAAAUGAAAAUUAGUAAAUAUCUGAUAAAUAAUAAAUAUUAGAUAAAUAAAUAAAUAUCUGAUAAAUAUUUAGAAGGCGUUCUCUCUCGGAGAGAUGUAUGACACACUCUUGAUGACUUGUAAGGGAUAUUGUCCAAAAUAUCCAGAGCUAGAACUUGAACUGGACCAAUCGACAGGAAAAUAAUCGACAAAGGGAAGCAUAAAUAGGAACUUAUUUGCCAAGUAUUAUAUAUUUUGAUAAACUAUAUUUUGUAAUAAAAUUGUACAAAAAAUGUA
rnacentral:sRNA from 1 species